UGAGUGAAGAAGGGUUUCGGCUCGUAAAGCUCUGUUGGUAGUGAAGAAAGAUAGAGGUAGUAACUGGCCUUUAUUUGACGGUAAUUACUUAGAAAGUCACGGCUAACUACGUGCCAGCAGCCGCGGUAAUACGUAGGUGGCAAGCGUUGUCCGGAUUUAUUGGGCGUAAAGCGAGUGCAGGCGGUUCAAUAAGUCUGAUGUGAAAGCCUUCGGCUCAACCGGAGAAUUGCAUCAGAAACUGUUGAACUUGAGUGCAGAAGAGGAGAGUGGAACUCCAUGUGUAGCGGUGGAAUGCGUAGAUAUAUGGAAGAACACCAGUGGCGAAGGCGGCUCUCUGGUCUGCAACUGACGCUGAGGCUCGAAAGCAUGGGUAGCGAACAGGAUUAGAUACCCUGGUAGUCCAUGCCGUAAACGAUGAGUGCUAAGUGUUGGGAGGUUUCCGCCUCUCAGUGCUGCAGCUAACGCAUUAAGCACUCCGCCUGGGGAGUACGACCGCAAGGUUGAAACUCAAAGGAAUUGACGGGGGCCCGCACAAGCGGUGGAGCAUGUGGUUUAAUUCGAAGCAACG
rnacentral:rRNA from 1 species